UACGGAGGGUGCGAGCGUUGUCCGGAUUUAUUGGGUUUAAAGGGUGCGCAGGCGGCCCCUUAAGUCGGCGGUGAAAGUUUGCGGCUCAACCGCAAAACCGCCGUUGAUACUGGGGGGCUUGAGUUCCGGCGGGGUACAUGGAAUUUAUGGUGUAGCGGUGAAAUGCAUAGAUACCAUAAGGAACACCGAUAGCGGAGGCAUUGUACUUGCCGGCGACUGACGCUGAGGCACGAAAGCGCGGGUAGCGAACAGG
rnacentral:misc_RNA from 1 species